CGACCUCAGAGCAGAUGAGAUUAUCCGCUGAAUUUAAGCAUAUUACUAAGCGGUGGGAAAGAAACUAACUAGGAUUCCCUUAGUAGCGGCGAGCGAACAUGGAAGAGCCCAGCACUAAAUCCCGCGGCCGGAGACGGACGCUGAGAAAUGUAGUGUUAGGGAGGAUCCGAAUAUCUCGGUGCGUUGCGGCGAGUUCAAGUCCAUCUUGAAUGGGGCCAUUUACCCAUAGAGGGUGCCAGGCCCGUAGCAACCGUUGUGCGUAUCGAGAGGAUUUCUACUCAGAGUCGAGUUGCUUGAGAGUGCAGCUCUAAGUGGGUGGCAAACUCCAUCUAAGGCUAAAUAUGACCACGAGACCGAUAGCGAACAAGUACCGUGAGGGAAAGUUGAAAAGAACUUUGAAGAGAGAGUUCAAAAGUACGUGAAACCGUUCAGGGGUAAACCUGAGAAUCCCGAAAGAUCGAAAGGAGAGAUUCAAUGUUAUCGUUGUCUUCCAUUUAUUGGCGUGCGAUUGACCGGGAUUCGUUCUGCGAUACGUCGUCGGUUUAUGCGUUAGGCGGCGAUUGCAUGCACUUCUCUCUCAGUAGGACGCCGCGACCCGUUUGGUGUCGAUCUAUGACCGCGGCGGUAGCCUGUCACGAAUUUAUUCGCGUCAGACCCGCGUGCUCCGGUCGACUGCCAGACGGUAUAAAUGAUAUGGUAUAGGGUCGCUUUUAAGCGUUUGGCUGGUUGCAAGCACGGACGGUUAUUGGCCGUCGGACCUGAUCCUACAUCGAUGCCGCCUCAAGCUGUUAGCUGCCGUGUCCUCGGACGGACUCUAUUACCGGUCAGCGAUGCUAUUGCUUUGGCGGAGGGAGCUUUGAAGGAGUCUAGCAUGUGCGCGAGUCAUUGGAAAAUACAAAACCUAAAGGCGCAAUGAACGUAAAUGUUUGCUUAUGUAAACUGAGGGAAGACGGGCCGCAUCUACGAAUGCGUGCUUGCAAUCCCGAAGCGUCUCACUCUCAUUGCGAGAAGAGACGCGCUCAGAGCGUACACGCUAGGACCCGAAAGAUGGUGAACUAUGCCCGGUCAGGUCAAAGUCAGGGGAAACCCUGAUGGAGGACCGUAGCGAUUCUGACGUGCAAAUCGAUCGUCGGAACUGGGUAUAGGGGCGAAAGACUAAUCGAACCUUCUAGUAGCUGGUUUCCUCCGAAGUUUCCCUAAGGAUAGCUAGCAUUCGAUGAGCGAGUCUCAUCCGGUAAAGCGAAUGAUUAGAGGCCUUGGGGCCGAAACGAUCUCAACCUAUUCUCAAACUUUAAAUGGGUGAGAUCUCUGGCUUGCUUGAAUAGUGAAACCAGAGAUUUGAAUCAGACUACCUAGUGGGCCACUUUUGGUAAGCAGAAUAGGCGCUGUGGGAUGAACCAAACGCCGAGUUAAGGCGCCUAAACGACGAUAAUGGGAUACCAUGAAAGGCGUUGGUUGCUUAAGACUUAAGUUGGAAUCCGCUAAGGAGUGUGUAACAACUCACCUGCCGAAGCAACUAGCCCUGAAAAUGGAUGGCGCUGAAGCGUCGUGCCUAUACUCGUCCGCCAGGGCAUGAGAAACGUUCAUAAUAGUUCGUUUUGACGCCCUGGUGAGUAGGAGGGUCGCGGUGGUGUGCGCAGAAGGGUUUGGGCGUAAGCCUGCCUGGAGCCGUCAUCGGUGCAGAUCUUGGUGGUAGUAGCAAAUACUCCAGCGAGGCCCUGGAGGACUGACGUGAAGAAGGGUUUCUUGUGAACAGCCGUUGCACGCGAGUCAGUCGAUCCUAAGCCCCAGGAGAAAUCCUAUGUUGAUGUUGGUGUAUUUUAUUUUGAAUAAAAUUUUACACCCAUCGGGCGAAAGGGAAUCCGGUUCCUAUUCCGGAAACCGGCAGCGAAACCGUUUACAAGUCGAGCCUUUGCAAGAGAGUUCGUCGGGGUAACCCAAAAUGACCUAGAGACGCCGUUGGGUAAUACGGGGAGAGUUUUCUUUUCUGUAUGAGCGUUCGAGUUCCCUGGAAUCCUCUAGAAGGGAGAUAGGGUUUGGAACGCAAAGAGCACCGCUGUUGCGGCGGUGUCCGUAUCUUCCCCUCGGACCUUAAAAAUCCAGGAGAGGUCUACGGUAGGUGUCGCGCCGGUUCGUACCCAUAUCCGCAGCAGGUCUCCAAGGUGAAGAGCCUCUAGUCGAUAGAUAAAUGUAGGUAAGGGAAGUCGGCAAAUUGGAUCCGUAACUUUGGGAUAAGGAUUAGCUCUGAGGAUCGGGGCGUGCCGGGCUUGGUUGGGAAGCGGGCGUAGGCCAAUGUGCUGGGCCUGGGCGAGGUAAAAUUGUCCUUGUGACUUAGAUCCAAGCUCGGUCCCGUGUCUAGGCCCCCCGCGGAUCUUUCUUGCUGCGAGGUUUCUGUGCCGGCUUCGGUCGGUCAGUCGUACUCUUCGGCCGCCAUUCAACGAUCAGCUCAGAACUGGCACGGACUAGGGGAAUCCGUCUGUCUAAUUAAAACAAAGCUUUGCAAUGGCCGUAGCUGGUGUUGACGCAAUGUGAUUUCUGCCCAGUGCUCUGAAUGUCAACGUGAAGAAAUUCAAGCAAGCGCGGGUAAACGGCGGGAGUAACUAUGACUAUAGAGUAGUUAAAUGCCUCGUCAUCUAACUAGUGACGCGCAUGAAUGGAUUAACGAGAUUCCCACUGUCCCUAUCUACUUUCUAGCAAAACCACUGCCAAGGGAACGGGCUUGGAAAAAUUAGCGGGGAAAUAAGACCCUGUGGAGCUUGACUCUAGUCUGGCAUUCUAAGGAGACAUAAAAGGUGUAGCAUAAGUGGGAGAUAGUAAUAUCGUCGGUGAAAUACCACUACUUUUAUCGUUCCUUUACUUACUCGAUUGGGCGGAAAGCGUGCGUCAAAAACUUGCGUUCCGACUGACACGGUUUUCUAGAGCCAAGCGCAUAAGAGUGGUGUGAGGCAUUGCGCCGAUUGCCAACAAUACUCUAGGGUGAUCCGAUUCGAGAAAACUGCUUGGCGGGGAGUUUCUCGCGUAGAGAGAAAGGGCAAAUGCUGGCUUGAUCCCGUUGUUCAGUGUGCACAGGAACUGCGAAAGCAUGGCCUAUCGAUCCUUUUGGCUUGAAGAGUUUUCUGCAAGAGGUGUCAGAAAAGUUACCACUGGGAUAACUGGCUUGUGGCGGCCAAGCAUUCAUAGCGACGUUGCUUUUUGAUCUUUCGAUGUCGGCUCUUCCUAUCAUUGCGAAGCAGAAUUCGCCAAGCGUUGGAUUGUUCACCCACAAAUAGGGAACCUGAGCUGGGUUUAGACCGUCGUGAGACAGGUUAGUUUUACCCUGCUGAUGAAUCGUCGUUGGGAUAGUAAUCCUGCUCAGUACGAGAGGAACCGCAGGUUCGAACAUUUGGUUCACGCACUCGGUCGAGCGGCCGGUGGUGCGAAGCUACCAUCCGUGGGAUUAUGCCUGAACGCCUCUAAGACCGUAUCCUUUCUAGACAAAGUAAGCAACGAUAUCUCUAGGAGUCUCGUGAGUCGAAAGGCUCAAUACAAUGUGAUUUAUUAGGUAUUCGGCACACGCCGUUUAUCGCACGAGCCAUUUUUAGCCGAAUGAGGCGCCUGACAGUGGCGAUAUCCGUCCGUUAUAUCUGCGUUGCCUAAAGCGGUCGAUCAUGGGUCACUAGUUCGAUGUAGAGACUCGGAAUCGUUUGUAAACGACUUAGGUACCUGGCUUGGUGUUGUACUCGGCAGAGCAAUUACCACGCUGCGAUCCGUUAAGACUCAGCCCUUGGCUUGGGGAUUUGU